UCAAGGGGACUUUUUUGAUCAAAACGUUUCAGCGGACAAAAAGGAAUCCCUAAGUAAGCGAACUUCUGAGUCGGUUCGCGAUUGAAUCAUUCGGAGAGUCACUCACGGAGAGUCGUUUGAGGAGUUUUUAUCAGUACCUUGAUGCUUUAGAAUGCUGAGAACAACUUAAUCGCUGGACAAAGUGGAAGAUUUGCCUGCAAACACCUACAAUAAACGUGCAAAAGCAUCCAGUCGUUUGUCAGUGAUGAAGAAAGACUUUAUUGAGUUGAAACACGUGAACGAGUCACUGCAGGAUGACCCGCUGCUGACCUGAGCCAGUGUGAGAGUGUUUGAGGUCAGAGGUCAGGACUGGCAUUUGCCCUUUUAGAUUCAAGUUCCCUGGAUGUCCAGAUAUUCCCACAUAUUGCAUCGCUGUGCGUUUACAAAACCUGGAACUUCCACGACGUGGUCUGAUCUUUGUAAUCCAGACAGUCUGAGCUGAAGUUGAGCCUCCACGAA